rnacentral:rRNA from 1 species
GACGAACGCUGGCGGCGUGCUUAACACAUGCAAGUCGAACGGAAAGGCCUCUUUCGGGGGGUACUCGAGUGGCGAACGGGUGAGUAACACGUGAGUAACCUGCCCUUGACUUUGGGAUAACUUCAGGAAACUGGGGCUAAUACCGGAUAGGAGCUCCUGCUGCAUGGUGGGGGUUGGAAAGUUUCGGCGGUUGGGGGUGGACUCGCGGCUUAUCAGCUUGUUGGUGGGGUAGUGGCUUACCAAGGCUUUGACGGGUAGCCGGCCUGAGAGGGUGACCGGCCACAUUGGGACUGAGAUACGGCCCAGACUCCGACGGGAGGCAGCAGUGGGGAAUAUUGCACAAUGGGUGGAAGCCUGAUGCAGCAACGCCGUGUGCGGGAUGACGGCCUUCGGGUUGUAAACCGCUUUCGCUCAUGACGAAGCUUUGUGUGACGGUAGUGGGUAAAGAAGCACCGGCUAACUACGUG